rnacentral:tRNA from 1 species
GACUCCGUGGUGCAACGUAAUCGUCUGACUCCAGAUCAGAAGGUUGCGUGUUCAAAUCACGUCGGGGUCA